AGAGUUUGAUCCUGGCUCAGGACGAACGCUGGCGGCACGCUUGACACAUGCAAGUCGAACGAGAGAAGAGGAGCUUGCUUUUCUGAUCUGGUGGCGGACGGGUGAGUAACACGUGAGCAAUCUGCCUUUCAGAGGGGGAUACCGAUUGGAAACGAUCGUUAAUACCGCAUAACAUAAUUGAACCGCAUGAUUUGAUUAUCAAAGAUUUAUCGCUGAAAGAUGAGCUCGCGUCUGAUUAGCUAGUUGGUAAGGUAACGGCUUACCAAGGCGACGAUCAGUAGCCGGACUGAGAGGUUGAUCGGCCACAUUGGGACUGAGACACGGCCCAGACUCCUACGGGAGGCAGCAGUGGGGAAUAUUGCACAAUGGAGGAAACUCUGAUGCAGCGAUGCCGCGUGAGGGAAGAAGGUUUUAGGAUUGUAAACCUCUGUCUUCAGGGACGAAAAAAGACGGUACCUGAGGAGGAAGCUCCGGCUAACUACGUGCCAGCAGCCGCGGUAAUACGUAGGGAGCGAGCGUUGUCCGGAAUUACUGGGUGUAAAGGGAGCGUAGGUGGGAUCGCAAGUCAGAUGUGAAAACUAUGGGCUUAACCCAUAAACUGCAUUUGAAACUGUGGUUCUUGAGUGAAGUAGAGGUAAGCGGAAUUCCUAGUGUAGCGGUGAAAUGCGUAGAUAUUAGGAGGAACAUCAGUGGCGAAGGCGGCUUACUGGGCUUUAACUGACGCUGAGGCUCGAAAGCGUGGGGAGCAAACAGGAUUAGAUACCCUGUAGUCCACGCCGUAAACGAUGAUUACUAGGUGUGGGGGGACUGACCCCUUCCGUGCCGCAGCAAACGCAAUAAGUAAUCCACCUGGGGAGUACGACCGCAAGGUUGAAACUCAAAGGAAUUGGCGGGGGCCCGCACAAGCAGUGGAGUAUGUGGAUUAAUUCGAAGCAACGCGAAGAACCUUACCAGGUCUUGACAUCGUAUGCAGAGCUCAGAGAUGAGUGAAAUCUCUUCGGAGACAUAUAGACAGGUGGUGCAUGGUUGUCGUCAGCUCGUGUCGUGAGAUGUUGGGUUAAGUCCCGCAACGAGCGCAACCCUUACUGUUAGUUGCUACGCAAGAGCACUCUAGCAGGACUGCCGUUGACAAAACGGAGGAAGGUGGGGAUGACGUCAAAUCAUCAUGCCCCUUAUGACCUGGGCCUCACACGUACUACAAUGGCUGUCAACAGAGGGAAGCAAAGCCGCGAGGUGGAGCGAACCCCUAAAAGCAGUCUUAGUUCGGAUUGUAGGCUGCAACCCGCCUACAUGAAGUCGGAAUUGCUAGUAAUCGCAGAUCAGCAUGCUGCGGUGAAUACGUUCCCGGGCCUUGUACACACCGCCCGUCACGCCAUGGGAGUCGGUAACACCCGAAGCCUGUAGUCUAACCGCAAGGAGGACGCAGUCGAAGGCGGGAUUGAUGACUGGGGUGAAGUCGUAACAGGGUA
rnacentral:rRNA from 1 species